GGGGCGAUGGCGUAACGGCAGCCGCGGGAGACUUAAAAUCUUUUGUCCUAACGGACGUGUGGGUUCAAGUCCCACUCGCCCCA
rnacentral:tRNA from 1 species